CCUANGGGUGGCAGCAGUGAGGAAUAUUGGUCAAUGGGCGCAAGCCUGAACCAGCCAUCCCGCGUGAAGGAAGAAGGCGCUAUGCGUUGUAAACUUCUUUUCCAGGGGAAGAAAACCUCUGAUGUAUCGGAGCUUGCCGGUACCCUGGGAAUAAGCAUCGGCUAACUCCGUGCCAGCAGCCGCGGUAAUACGGAGGAUGCAAGCGUUAUCCGGAUUUAUUGGGUUUAAAGGGUGCGUAGGCGGAAAAAUAAGUCAGUGGUGAAAACCUGCAGCUUAACUGUAGAAUUGCCAUUGAUACUGUUAUUCUUGAGUGUGGUCAAGGUAGGCGGAAUGUGUAAUGUAGCGGUGAAAUGCUUAGAUAUUACACAGAACACCGAUUGCGAAGGCAGCUUGCUGGGCCACUACUGACGCUCAUGCACGAAAGCGUGGGGAUCGAACAGGAUUAGAUACCCCGNUANUC
rnacentral:rRNA from 1 species